UUCCACCAUGUGAGGAUACAAGAAGUUGGCAGUCUGCAACCUGGAAGACAGCCCUCACCAGACCCGCUUCCUGGACCUGGAUCUCAGACUUCCAGCCUCCAGAACUGUGAGGAAUAAAUGUCUGUUUGUCUGUUGUUUAUAAGACACUCAGUCUGUGGUACUUCGGUAUAGCAGCCUGAACUAAGACAUGCUUAUAAACAUACAAGAUGACUGGAAAAUUAUUAUCCUGUUGGUCCAAGAACUCCUCUUGGGAAAGGAAUUGUCUUCUUUGGAAUAACACCUUCAUAAGGUCUUGGGUAGAAGGAGAGGCCAAGAACAGAAAGCGCCCUGGAACUACUCUACACAAGAAAGGCUUUCGAAGAGGUUUUGCCUGGAAAGCAGUGAAGGAGCUGAAUCUCCAAUCUGGGUUAUAAGAUCAUCAUCAUCAUCAUCUUCAGCUGCCCAUUUGACUGUAG
rnacentral:lncRNA from 1 species